CAGAUCUCCUCCGGGAGUGGUGGGCAGCUACUGUGAAAGGCCUGGUUCAAAAACCUCACAGCGGUUGUUUUCAGAGUUGUCCCUCCUGUGUACUCUCAAAGCCCCAGAAUGAAGCAAAGCAUCCUCCCUUUUCAAACUGGCACUCUUCCCCAACCUUGAGGACCACUAGGCACUUUGUUUUUAAAGCCACAGUUACUUUUAUGGAGAAGUAUUGUUAUGAAAAAAGGGAGGCAUCUGAGGAGUGGAAACAGAGAAAUGAGUGACUGAGAUCAGUGUCUUAUUUUGACCAUCUUUUCCAAGUGCUGCAUCCUCCCAAACACAACAUGAACUCAACACUUAAUAAAGCUGCAGUCCUACGUG
rnacentral:lncRNA from 1 species